rnacentral:rRNA from 1 species
GAUGAACGCUGGCGGCGUGCCUAAUACAUGCAAGUCGAGCGAACGGACGAGAAGCUUGCUUCUCUGAUGUUAGCGGCGGACGGGUGAGUAACACGUGGAUAACCUACCUAUAAGACUGGGAUAACUUCGGGAAACCGUAGCUAAUACCGGAUAAUAUUUUGAACCGCAUGGUUCAAAAGUGAAAGACGGUCUUGCUGUCACUUAUAGAUGGAUCCGCGCUGCAUUAGCUAGUUGGUAAGGUAACGGCUUACCAAGGCAACGAUGCAUAGCCGACCUGAGAGGGUGAUCGGCCACACUGGAACUGAGACACGGUCCAGACUCCUACGGGAGGCAGCAGUAGGGAAUCUUCCGCAAUGGGCGAAAGCCUGACGGAGCAACGCCGCGUGAGUGAUGAAGGUCUUCGGAUCGUAAAACUCUGUUAUUAGGGAAGAACAUAUGUGUAAGUAACUGUGCACAUCUUGACGGUACCUAAUCAGAAAGCAACGGCUAACUACGUG